GGGAUAACACCUGGAAACAGAUGCUAAUACCGGAUAACAACACUAGACGCAUGUCUAGAGUUUAAAAGAUGGUUCUGCUAUCACUCUUGGAUGGACCUGCGGUGCAUUAGCUAGUUGGUAAGGUAACGGCUUACCAAGGCAAUGAUGCAUAGCCGAGUUGAGAGACUGAUCGGCCACAUUGGGACUGAGACACGGUCCAAACUCCUACGGGAGGCAGCAGAC
rnacentral:rRNA from 1 species